GACGAACGCUGGCGGCAUGCUUAACACAUGCAAGUCGAACGGAAAGGCCCUGCUUUUGUGGGGUUCUCGAGUGGCGAACGGGUGAGUAACACGUGAGUAACCUUCCCUUGACUUUGGGUUAACUUCCGGAAACUGGGGCUAAUACCGGAUAGGAGCUCCUGCUGCAUGGUGGGGGUUGGAAAGUUUCGGCGGUUGGGGAUGGACUCGCGGCUUAUCAGCUUGUUGGUGGAGUAGUGGCUUACCAAGGCUUUGACGGGUAGCCGGCCUGAGGGGGUGACCGGCGACAUUGGGACUGAGAUACGGACCAGACGCGUACGGGAGGCAGCAGGGGGGAAUAUUGCACAAUGGGCGGAAGCCUGAGGAAGAAACGCCGCGUGCGGGAUGAAGGCCUGCGGGUUGUAAACCGCUUGCGCCUGUGACGAAGCGGGAGUGACGGUAAUGGGUAAAGAAGCACCGGCUAACUACGUG
rnacentral:rRNA from 1 species